ACACCAGGGGAUGCGCAGGGGAAAAUAUUUUCAUCAAGAUCAUUUGUACUGCCAACACAUUGGACACAAUGGCUGAAAGAAGGACCGCAGGCACUGUGUGAUCACAUCAUAAAAGGAACAGCAAAUGUAAAGUGUCUUCAAAUAUGCUGGUGAACAGCUUUAUAGAAGAGCUGCGUUCAGUCUGAGGCAAGCCAGGGCAAUCCAGGCAGCAUCAGCUUCUGUUAUUUGUGAAAUGAAGAUCAUCCCUUUCUCUGAAAAUCAGUCUUUAACUGCUAGCAACACACAGAUCUAAGAUUAAACUUCUGCAAAGUCCUGAUUAACCAGUACCAGAUAGUGGGAGCUGGAAGAAUCACUGAAGAAAUGGUAAAAAAGAAAAGGGAGGGUAAGACCUGCUUUUUUGGACUUUUUUUCCGUGUUGUUCUGAAGAUUGAAAGUAAUUUAGCGCCUCGGUUUUCACAGUAUGAGCACCAUUGAAACAUUAUUUGGUUUGCUUUCUUAGAAAAUUUUGAAAAAUGUUUGUAAACAGGGUAAGACAGAAAAUGGGGUAGAAUCUGUUGCGAGUCAUCACUUUCAUUCUCAGUCAAAGUUCUUUAUUUCUCAGCUUUGCGGCAUCCUAGAUAUAUCCCCCAUGGGGACCGCAAUGAUGGCAUACUGAUUGUUGUUUUGACCCAAGAAAUUUAGUGCAUUUCUU